rnacentral:rRNA from 1 species
AGGGUUCGAUUCUGGCUCAGGAUGAACGCUAGCGACAGGCUUAACACAUGCAAGUCGAGGGGCAUCACGGGAGUAGCAAUACAACUGGUGGCGACCGGCGCACGGGUGGGUAACGCGUAUGCAACCUACCUAUCAGAGGGGAAUAACCCGGCGAAAGUCGGACUAAUACCGCAUAAAACAGGGGCACCGCAUGGUGAUAUUUGUUAAAGAAAUUCGCUGAUAGAUGGGCAUGCGUUCCAUUAGGUAGUUGGUGAGGUAACGGCUCACCAAGCCGACGAUGGAUAGGGGAACUGAGAGGUUGGUCCCCCACACUGGUACUGAGACACGGACCAGACUCCUACGGGAGGCAGCAGUGAGGAAUAUUGGUCAAUGGGCGGGAGCCUGAACCAGCCAAGUCGCGUGAAGGAAGAAGGAUCUAUGGUUCGUAAACUUCUUUUGCAGGGGAAUAAAGUGCAGGACGUGUCCUGUUUUGUAUGUACCCUGAGAAUAAGGAUCGGCUAACUCCGUGCCAGCCGCCGC